GACGUAGGGUGCAAGCGUUGUCCGGAUUUAUUGGGCGUAAAGAGCUCGUAGGCGGCUUGUUGCGUCGACUGUGAAAACCCGCGGCUUAACCGCGGGCUUGCAGUUGAUACGGGCAGGCUAGAGUUCGGUAGGGGAGACUGGAAUUCCUGGUGUAGCGGUGAAAUGCGCAGAUAUCAGGAGGAACACCAGUGGCGAAGGCGGGUCUCUGGGCCGAUACUGACGCUGAGGAGCGAAAGCGUGGGGAGCGAACAGG
rnacentral:rRNA from 1 species